rnacentral:rRNA from 1 species
AUGCCCAGCGCCGCUCGUCGUUGUCCGCCAGGAUUCUGUGCCCCGCCGAGUUCCCUGCUACGUCGCUGGAGCUCCAUUCUCGUGCCCAGAUCUGCCGGAUCCCGUAGACCCAGUCCCUUCCAGCCGGUCCUCGCCGGAGCCCUCGCCGGUCUUCCCGGCAUCACUGGCCUCCCCUGCAUCAUGCAUCGAGGAGGAGAAGAACGCAUGCAACUAGUGCCUCCGCUCACCUGCGUUGACCCGAGCGUUGCGAUGGCCUGCCUCCUUGCCUCGAUCCGGCCCAACACCCCCCAAGCCCGCCAGCGCCAGAUCGAACCAAGGCCCAGCUGCAACCCAGCGUGCCUCCUCUUCACCGAAUUGGGCCAGGCCCAGGUGUUUCUUCUUCGGGUUGGAUCCGAUAACGUCACGUUUGUGAGGUUUCGUUUGACUUCGUCUGCUUGUCUUCUUCAUGGACUCGUUCUUCUUCCUUGCGGGAUUUCAGGUGCCGUUGAACCGUGA